rnacentral:rRNA from 1 species
UCCACGCCGUAAACGAUGUCAACUAGAUGUUGGGGGGUUUAACCCUUUAGUAUCGCAGCUAACGCAUUAAGUUGACCGCCUGGGGGAGUACGGCCGCAAAGGUUAAAAACUCAAAGGAAUUGACGGGGGCCCGCACAAGCGGUGGAGCAUGUGGUUUAAUUCGAUGCAACGCGAAGAACCUUACCUGCCCUUGACAUUGACAGAACCCUGGAGAGAUCCGGGGGUGCCCUUCG